rnacentral:rRNA from 1 species
UACGGAGGGUGCAAGCGUUGUUCGGAAUCACUGGGCGUAAAGGGCGUGUAGGCGGUCUGUUAAGUCUGAUGUGAAAUCCCCUCGCUCAACGAGGGAACUGCGUCGGAAACUGGCAGACUCGAGUACCGGAGAGGAAGGUGGAAUUCCCGGUGUAGCGGUGAAAUGCGUAGAUAUCUGGAGGAACACCGGUGGCGAAGGCGGCGUCCUGGACCAACACUGACACUGAUGAGCGAAAGCCAGGGGAGCAAACGGG